UGGGAUGGAGCUCGGUUGGUAGAGUGUUUGCCUACUAUGCAGGAAGCCCUGGGUUCCAUCCCCAGUACCACAC
rnacentral:tRNA from 1 species